rnacentral:rRNA from 1 species
GAUGAACGCUGGCGGCGUGCUUAAUACAUGCAAGUCGAACGAAGCACUUCUCCCGUUGAUUGAAUUAGCUUGCUAAUGAUUGAAACAAUUGAAGUGACUGAGUGGCGGACGGGUGAGUAACGCGUGGGUAACCUGCCUUGUACAGGGGGAUAACAGUUGGAAACGACUGCUAAUACCGCAUAAGCGCACAGUACCGCAUGGUACGGUGUGAAAAACUCCGGUGGUACAAGAUGGACCCGCGUCUGAUUAGCUAGUUGGUGAGGUAACGGCCCACCAAGGCAACGAUCAGUAGCCGACUUGAGAGAGUGAUCGGCCACAUUGGGACUGAGACACGGCCCAAACUCCUACGGGAGGCAGCAGUAGGGAAUAUUGCACAAUGGGGGAAACCCUGAUGCAGCGACGCCGCGUGAAGGAUGAAGUAUUUCGGUAUGUAAACUUCUAUCAGCAAGGAAGAAAAUGACGGUACUUGACUAAGAAGCC